UGGAAGCAGUUGUGGAAAACUGCUUUAAAUGUCAUAGAGCACUCAGAAGGAAUUCAUAAAUGACCUCAUAAAGAAGUCCACUGUGGUUUCCCUGCAGAGGUGGGAAUAGAAUCAGAGUGCUAAGGAUUGAGGGAUUAAGAGGAGGUGAUUGUAUUAUUCCUCUUUUCAGAUAAUGGAGAGAGAGAAGAGAACAGCAGUAGCCGUUGCCAGAAAUAUUGAGCAAGGCGGAUUUAUUAGAUGAAGAUAUCAAAAUACUUUCCAUUGAGGAAACAGGUUGGAGGUGGGAGGCUGUAACCAUGCUUGAUUUUGUACCACCCUAACCUUUGCUUGAUCCAGGUUCCAGUCCAAUAUGCACCAUUCAGCCUGGUUGCAGCAUGUUAAGCAGCCCUGGAGGCAGCAGAUGAGGGAUCCUAUGAAGCAACUUUCAGACAUUCAGAACCAAGACAAAAAAAAAGAGAAUUAAAGUAAAAUAUGAUGUACCCAGGAGUUACAUCAGUGAACCAAAUACAGCCUCAAAUUUCGAUCUGUGCUUCACAGCAGCCAGCAAAAAGAACAAAACAUAUUUUGUUAGUUCAUAUAAAUAAAUAAAUUAAAAAUGCAUGAAUAAAUAAAUAAAGCAAACCAGUUUCUCGAUUCUGAAAUAUUUUCUGGAAGUGAGAACUGAAAGGAAUUUCCACCAUGGACCCACAAGCAGUUGUUGGUGGCAUAUAUAAUGAGUGCUGGGUGUUAAGGAAGCAAUGGUGAAGGAGAGACACCCUCCCGACCCUCAUGGUGCUUGCAGCCUAGUGGAGCUAUGAAAAGAUAGGCAAGUGAGUCCUAUGAUUGGAGAAGUAAUGAGAAGUAAUGAGAAGCGUCUUCUAAGCAUAGGGGUAAAGACUGCAAAGACCCUGAAGGGAGAAAGUAAUGGCCAUUCUGAGAACUGAAAGUUUGCACAGUGCACAGAGGGCAUGAAGAACGAAGGAAAGAGAUUUUUUUUUUUUUUUUUUUGCCCAAGAUGGCAAGUUGCUUAAAACCUAAAGCUCCUUUCAAUUCUUUACAAUCCAAGAUUAUAUGGAAUGGACUGGGAACAAAGAGAGGGACUGGCAUUUAAAGUCUUUUAAAGAGUAUUGGACAUCAUUUCUUGCCACAGACUGAGUACUUCACUGUUACUAACUAUGGUUGGACUCCAGUUGAACCUGUUCUGAAUUAAUCUGAAGUUCUUAUUGAAAUUGAAAAGAAUAUUUAAGGGUCAACUCCUGGUUCUGUUGACAUGAAUAAAGUAUGCAUAGAAAGUCCUGUCAUCAUCACAGUACACUUUGGAACAAAUGUUAUUCUCCAUUCAUCCUGACACUAAAUUGGUUAGCCAAACCCAAAGAUCUACUAAUAAUCCUGCUUUGGCAUGGGAGAAUGAGUGAGAUAAGGAGGCAAUAGAGGAGAUGAAUCGACAAAUGGAAGGAAUAGAAUUCUGGUUGAUGUCCUUGUCUCUAAGCUGUAGCAGCAAGUAUUUAUCCUAAUCAUGUGGUGUUAGCACGGAGAUGAGAAAGAGAGAAAGACAACAUCAUGCUUUGCUGUCUGUGUGUGAACUGAGUAACAGCUGUGAAGGAUCAGUCACCAAAAGACUUUGAAAGAAGAGGCUUGAUUGGUCACGGUAAUGAUGCUCCCCUGGCCAUGGAAGUUUAAUUGGGAGAAAAGAACAUCUGCUUAUACGAAAACAUAUUAUAUUCAGCCAUCCCUGCCCUGACUUUGGCCUUUAAAAACAGUGGCAUUAAUUAUCUCAACAAAUGAAUCUUCGGGAUAAAAAUAAUCUAAAUAUUAUUUUACGCUUACUACAUAUUUGCAACGUGCUAAGCUCUUUAUGGUUGCUACCACAAAAAACAUUUAUAAUAUGAGACUUCACAAGGUUAGGAACAGGCUUCACUUCAUUGUGAUGUGUGUAAGGUGACAGAGGACAUAUAACGAAUACGUGGAAGAACUAGGAAUUUGACCUUAGCUUCCAGACAUUUUGAGGAGGAUACACUAUGUCCAUCUUGCUUUCCUAUCAAGAAAAGUAUACCCAGUUUGUGCAGUAGCCCUGUACCAACAGAUACAUUACAGCAGGUUGUUUCCGUAUUUUGGCUAUUGUGAAUAGUGCUGCAAUAAACAUGGAAGUGCUGAUAUAUCUUUGAGAUCUUGACUUCAAACAAAAGAAGAAAAUCUUGCAAUAUAUGACAACACGGAUUAACCUGGAGGACAUUGUGCUUAGUGAAGUUAGCCAGUCACAGACUGACAAGUACUGCACGAUUCCACUUAUGAAGACUACAGUUCCUAUCUUCACAGGUGGCUGUUAGCUCUAAAUGAACUCAUUUAUUUUGAAAGCAUGAUUUAAAGUAUAGUUUUAAACUAUAAGCAUUUCAGAAGUGAUGACCCAUGACUCAAAUCUCAAAAAUAAAUGCUACAGUUCACAGUUGGAAUAUGGACACAAGAAAAAUAAUAGAUGAUGCCACUGAAAGGUAAACAUACCAUUCUGACAUGCAUGAAAAUGAAACGACAAAUUGAUACACGCAGUGCUUGGAAUGGAUGGAGUCCUUCUAAUGAGUGAUUACCUGUGGUAUAACUAUAUUGAUUGUGUUUGUACAUGUCAAAUGGGGCUGGCGAGGAUGAACUUGAAGAAAUCAAUCUUGGAACCUGCUAGGACAGCAGCCUCCUGGUUUCACAGUACUAAAUCAUGACUUCAAAAUUUUGAAGUAAAAGAAAACUGCAAAACUUUGUAAAGGUACCAGUCUCUUCCUGACACUAUUUGCCUUGGCAAAAGAUUCACUGUCAACUUAAAAGACUAACAUGUGCUCAGAUGAUGAUUUGUGGAGGACAGAUAAUUAUGAGUACAUUUAGAAAUACACACUCUUCCAAACCCUGCUCUUUCCAUAUAAUGAAGUUAUUUAUUUCUAUUUUUUAUUUAUUUUUCUAAUAAUUACAAACAUACUUUGGAGACCCACAUUCCUGUAUUAUUCUUUCAACAUACUGAAGAAGAGUUAUUUCUAUGCUUCUUUCUAUGUGUUGGGCUUAAGAUUUAUUAGAAGGAAUGUGUAAAAACAAAGGCAGCAAAGUUUCUAUUUUUAUUGGGAGUCACUCCCGGAGUAAGUGGGGAUAGUUGUGCACACACACACACACACAUUCAUGCACAAAGAAAGAGUGAUCAAGUGUAUAACACACUUUUAGCAGUGUUUUGCUGGAAGAAUAAAGUAUAACUCCUUGUCCGCCCUUUUAUUAUACUGGGGUUCACACUAAGAGAGUCUGAGGACCUGUGGAACUCCCAUUUGCAUGAAAUAACUUUUGCAUCUAUUCUGGAGGAAAACUUCCUAAGGCAGAUUUGGACAGAAAAUUGCUAUCAGCGCAAAUAAAACAAUGCAAAGCCUACUCCGGGGAACGUUGCUCUGCCACCACUACUGAAAUGGGUCAUCCCCUUGGUUUCUGAAUAAAGAAUUAUGAAACCUGGGGCUAGAAUGCUCAGGGAGGAAUUUACCAAUCCAAAUCUUCCCCUUAUGGUAGAGAACAAACUUUCAAGGUUUGUUCUCCACUGUAAGUGUGCGAGGGCUGUUAGGGACCGUAAUAUGGCUGCCGGAGACUGGUGUGUGUACCUCCUUGACUGUACGUCUCAUUUCCAGUUAUGAUUUUACAAUCAUCUCUUUCUCAACCUUUGCUUUUAAAUAUAGGAAGGUACGGCUCACCAUGGAGCGGACAUUUUCUUCAGGAGCGGUACGGUGUCUAAGAUAUGCAGAGGUUGUAUUCUAGUCCUAUAACUCAAUUCUCAAACACAUGGCUUUUAGCCAGGGAUAUCCUAAAGGAAAAUUACACUAUAUGCAACCCCUCCUUACUCCUCAAAUAUUAUCUAUAUUAAACACAGCUGAAAUUUGAGAGUGUCCUUACAGGUGAAAAUUUAACAAUUUAACAAAAGGACACUGCUGAAUGUGUGGGGACAAAGGAAGGAUGAAUCUUUCAUCAUGACAAAAGACUACUUGCCACAUUCUCCCUUAACUUAGAAAAACA
rnacentral:lncRNA from 1 species